GUCGGGAGUUAGGAAAUGCAGGUGCGUUAAUAGCGCACUUGCUUGACUAAGGCUCCAGAGGAAGCCACGGCUAACUCUGUGCCAGCAGCCGCGGUAAUACAGAGGCGGCAAGCGUUGUUCGGAAUUAUUGGGCGUAAAGAGCACGUAGGCGGCUGUGUAAGUCGGUUGUGAAAGCCUUCCGCUCAACGGAAGAACGGCAUCCGAUACUGCAUGGCUUGAGUGUGGGAGGGGAGAGUGGAACUUCUGGU
rnacentral:rRNA from 1 species